AAGCGGAGGAAAAGAAACUAACAAGGAUUCCCCUAGUAACUGCGAGUGAAGCGGGAAAAGCUCAAAUUUAAAAUCUGGCAGAUGUUUGUCUGUCCGAGUUGUAACCUAGAGAAGUGUAACCUGUGCUGGACCAUGUACAAGUCUCCUGGAAUGGAGCAUCAUAGAGGGUGAGAAUCCCGUCUUUGACAUGGACUACCAGUGCACUGUGGUUGCGCACUCAACGAGUCGAGUUGUUUGGGAAUGCAGCUCUAAAUGGGUGGUAAAUUCCAUCUAAAGCUAAAUAUUGGCGAGAGACCGAUAGCGAACAAGUACCGUGAGGGAAAGAUGAAAAGAACUUUGGAAAGAGAGUUAAACAGUAUGUGAAAUUGUUGAAAGGGAAACGCUUGAAGUCAGCUGCAUUGGCUGGGGAUCAAGCCAGCUUAUUUGCUGGGUGUACUUCCUGGUUGAUGGGCCAACAUCAGUUUUGACCAUCAGAGAAAGGCUAAGGGAAUGUGGCACCUU
rnacentral:rRNA from 1 species